GGCGGCGGACGGGUGAGUAACGCGGGGGUAACCUACCUCAUACACAUGGAUAACAUACCGAAAGGUAUGCUAAUACAAGAUGAUAUAAGAGAUUCGCAUGGAUUUCUUAUCAAAGCUCCGGCGGUAUGAGAUGGACCCGCGUCUGAUUAGCUAGUUGGUAAGGUGACGGCUUACCAAGGCGACGAUCAGUAGCCGACCUGAGAGGGUGAUCGGCCACAUUGGAACUGAGACACGGUCCAAACUCCUACGGGAGGCAGCAGUGGGGAAUAUUGCACAAUGGGCGAAAGCCUGAUGCAGCAACGCCGCGUGAGCGAUGAAGGCCUUCGGGUCGUAAAGCUCUGUCCUCAAGGAAGAUAAUGACGGUACUUGAGGAGGAAGCCCCGGCUAACUACGUGCCAGCAGCCGCGGUAAUACGUAGGGGGCUAGCGUUAUCCGGAUUUACUGGGCGUAAAGGGUGCGUAGGUGGUUUCUUAAGUCAGGAGUGAAAGGCUACGGCUUAACCGUAGUAAGCUCUUGAAACUGGGAAACUUGAGUGCAGGAGAGGAAAGUGGAAUUCCUAGUGUAGCGGUGAAAUGCGUAGAUAUUAGGAGGAACACCAGUAGCGAAGGCGGCUUUCUGGACUGUAACUGACACUGAGGCACGAAAGCGUGGGGAGCAAACAGGAUUAGAUACCCUGGUAGUCCACGCCGUAAACGAUGAGUACUAGGUGU
rnacentral:rRNA from 1 species